rnacentral:rRNA from 1 species
UAAUACAGAGGGUGCAAGCGUUGUUCGGAAUUAUUGGGCGUAAAGCGCGUGUAGGCGGCUUUGCAAGUCGGGUGUGAAAUCCCUCAGCUCAACUGAGGAAGUGCGCCCGAAACUGCUUAGCUUGAGUGCCGGAGAGGAUGGCGGAAUUCCCCAAGUAGAGGUGAAAUUCGUAGAUAUGGGGAGGAACACCGGUGGCGAAGGCGGCCAUCUGGACGGUAACUGACGCUGAGACGCGAAAGCGUGGGUAGCAAACAGGAUUAGAUACCCUGGUAGUCCACGCCGUAAACGAUGAGAACUAGGUGUCGUGGGUGUUGACCCCCGCGGUGCCGUAGCUAACGCAUUAAGUUCUCCGCCUGGGAAGUACGGUCGCAAGACUA